rnacentral:rRNA from 1 species
AUCAAUAAGCGGAGGAAAAGAAAAUAACAAUGAUUUCCUUAGUAACGGCGAGUGAACAGGAAAAAGCUCAAAGUUGGAACCUGUUUGGCCUAGCUAAACCGGAUUGUAAACUGUAGAAGUGUUUUCCAGGCAAGCCGGACCGAUAAGUCCUUUGGAACAGGGCAUCAUAGAGGGUGAGAAUCCCGUCUUCGGUCUGAGCAUUUGCCUUUUGCGAUACACUUUCAAAGAGUCAGGUUGUUUGGGAAUGCAGCCUAAAUUGGGUGGUAAAUCUCACCUAAAGCUAAAUAUUGGCGAGAAACCGAUAGCGAACAAGUACCGUGAGGGAAAGAUGAAAAGAACUUUGAAAAGAGAGUUAAACAGUAUGUGAAAUUGUUAAAAGGGAACCGUUUGGAGCCAGACUGGCUUGUCUGUAAUCAGUCUAAGCUUCGGCUUGGAUGCACUUGCAGGCUAUGCCUGCCAACGACAAUUUGGCUUGAGGGAAAAAACUAAGGGAAAUGUGGCCCAUCCGUGGGUGUUAUAGUCCCUUAGAAAAUACCUUGGGCUGGAUUGAGGUACGCAGCGAAUGCUAUUUGGCGAGUUGGCUGGGAAUAUUUUCUGAGGUGCUCCGGUACUGAGGUUGAUAUUUCCAGUUACACUUCUAUUCGCUUAGGUUGUUGGCUUAAUGACUCUAAAUGAC